rnacentral:tRNA from 1 species
GCCGAUAUAACCCUAAUUUGGUAAGGGAACAGUUUGCUAAACUGCCAGUAGUCGCUUAUGCGGCGUAUAGGUUCAAGUCCUAUUGUCGGCG